UGGGGGUAAAGCGUGCGUAGGCGGUUUAUUAAGUCAGAUGUGAAAGCCCCGGGCUUAACCUGGGAACUGCAUUUGAAACUGGUCAACUAGAGUAUGGUAGAGGAAAGUGGAAUUUCUGGUGUAGCGGUGAAACGCGUAGAUAUCAGAAGGAACAUCAAUGGCGAAGGCAGCUUUCUGGACCAAUACUGACGCUGAGGUACGAAAGCGUGGGUAGCAAACAGGAUUAGAUACCCUGGUAGUCCACGCCGUAAACGAUGAUAACUAGCCGUUGGGGGGAUUUACCCUUUAGUGGCGAAGCUAACGCGUUAAGUUAUCCGCCUGGGGAGUACGGCCGCAAGGUUAAAACUCAAAGGAAUUGACGGGGACCCGCACAAGCGGUGGAGCAUGUGGUUUAAUUCGAUGCAACGCGAAGAACCUUACCUGGUCUUGACAUCCUGCGAACUUUCUAGAAAUAGAUUGGUGCCUUCGGGAACGCAGUGACAGGUGCUGCAUGGCUGUCGUCAGCUCGUGUCGUGAGAUGUUGGGUUAAGUCCCGUAACGAGCGCAACCCCUAUCCUUAUUUGCCAGCACGUCAUGGUGGGAACUAUAAGGAGACUGCCGGUGAUAAACCGGAGGAAGGCGGGGACGACGUCAAGUCAUCAUGGCCCUUACGACCAGGGCUACACACGUGCUACAAUGGGAAGGACAAAGAGCCGCGAAGCCGCGAGGUGUAGCUAAUCUCAGAAACCUUUUCGUAGUCCGGAUUGGAGUCUGCAACUCGACUCCAUGAAGUCGGAAUCGCUAGUAAUCGUAGAUCAGAACGCUACGGUGAAUACGUUCCCGGGUCUU
rnacentral:rRNA from 1 species